rfam:Oryza brachyantha chromosome 4, whole genome shotgun sequence.
UUUUGCCGGGUGCGACAAAAGUCUGAUAAAGUUGGAACGAUACAGAGAAGAUUAGCAUGACCCUUUGCGCUAACGUAUGUAUUUAUCCUUUGGUUGCCAAUGAGCAUCUAUUU